CGGAGGGAUCAUUAAAGAGUUCUAUAACUCCCAAACCCAUGUGAACAUACCUAACGUUGCCUCGGCAGGUCGCACCUACCUUGUAGCACCCUACCCUGUAGGGCCUACCCGGGAGGUGCGGGUAAGCCUGCCGGCGGCCCACCAAACUCUGUUUGAUAUUGAAUUCUGAACCUAUAACUAAAUAAGUUAAAACUUUCAACAACGGAUCUCUUGGUUCUGGCAUCGAUGAAGAACGCAGCGAAAUGCGAUAAGUAAUGUGAAUUGCAGAAUUCAGUGAAUCAUCGAAUCUUUGAACGCAUAUUGCGCCCAUUAGUAUUCUAGUGGGCAGGACCGUUCGAGCGUCAUUUCAACCCUUAAGCCUUCGUUGCUUAGUGUUGGGAGCCUACGGCAACGUAGCUCCUCAAAGUUAGUGGCGGAGUUGGUUCACACUCUAGACGUAGUAAUUUUUUAUCUCGCCUAUUAGUUGGACUAAUCCCCUGCCGUAAAACCCCCAAUCUAUAUCAAGGUUGACCUCGAAUCGGUUCAGACAAACUCGCUAAAUUGAAGCAUCUUAGUCAGCGAAGGAAAAGAAACCAACAGGGAUUGCCCUAGUAACGGCGAGUGAAGCGGCAACAGCUCAAAUUUGAAAUCUGGCCCUCGGGUCCGAGU
rnacentral:rRNA from 1 species